ensembl:lncRNA
AGAGAAAAAUAAUCUUAUGGAUGAAUUUGAGAACAAGAAUACUAUGAAUAUCCAUAUUACUAACAACAACAACAACAACAACAACAACAACAACAACAACAACAACAACAAAAACAACAACAACAGCAACAACAACAACAACAACAACAACAGCAAUAUUAUAAAUACUAAUAGUAUGUAUUUUAAUAAUAAUUACAAUAACAACAAUUACAGUAGUAACAACAACAACUACAAUAGUAACAACUACAAUAGUAACAACAAAUUAAAUGAAAAUGAAUUGUAUUUGAAAGAAAGCAGUAAAAACAUUAUGGACAUUCUAAAAACAUUCAACUCAAAUAAUGAUUUAGGACAUGAAUCAUUGGAACAGCAAUUAAACAGAAACAAUAAUACGCUACCUAUUAUAAAUAAUAGCAACAACAUUAAAUCAAAUAUUAUGAAUAACGAAAUGGUAUUUAAGAACAAUCAAAAGUAUAACUCUAUAGAUAAUAUUAUGUACAAAAAAAAAUUUAUUAAUAAUUAUAUAAAUGAAAAAGGAAACAACAAUAACAAUGUAGACUACGCAUUUAUAAAUAAUAAAAAAAUUGUUAAUAAUAAUCUUAACCAAAACUAUGCUACUACGAACAACAACACGAGAUAUAACAAUAACAUUAAUUUUAACAACAAUAAUGAUUAUACUACUACUAAUAAUAAUAAUUAUAAUAGUAACAACUUUAACCGAAUGACUGGUGGUAACUAUUACUACAACAACCAUAUUAACAACAACAAUAUUAACAACAACAAUAUUAACAACAACAAUAUUAACAACAAUAUUAACAACCAUAUUAACAACAAUAUUAACAACAAUAAUAUUAACAACAAUAAUAUUAACAACAAUAUUAACAACAAUAAUAUUAACAACAACAAUACUAACAACAAUAUUAACAAUAACAAUAGUAACAAAAGUUACUAUAAUAACAAUUUUAUAGGUGGGUUAUCUUCUUCUAAUAACAAUUCGGAGCAAUAUAAAAACAAAAAUGAUAAUUCAAGCAAUAUAAAUAUUACACCUAUUAUUAAUUCGUUGCUACGUUUAAAUAGUGAACAAGAAUAUAACAAUAACAAUAUUUUAUUUAAUAACACAGAACAGUCUAUAUCAGACAAUAUACAAAAUGCUAAAGUAAAUAAUGUAUUAGAAUCUUUAAAAUCGUUAUUGAAAGCCUCAAAAAAUGAAAGCAAUUACAAUCCGAAUAUUAAUAAUAUGAAAACUCAUAAAAAAGGCAACAACAACAACAACUUGAAUACGAGCAUGAACAUGAACAUGAACAUAAACACGCACUUGAACACGAACUUGAACACGAACUUGAACACGAACUUGAACACGAACUUGAACACAAACUUGAACACAAACUUGAAUACGAACUUGAAUACGAAUUUGAAUACGAAUUUGAAUACGAAUAUGAAUAUGAACAGAAGUUAUACCAAUUUAAAAAACAAUAGUAAGGGAAGUAACAAGUUUAAUAAUUACUAUAACCAACAAUACUAUUCUCAGUAUACACAGGAUUACAAGUUCCCACCAUUCAAUGAUUUUAAUAAAAAAAACUUUCCAAAAAAGGAUAAACACAAUGCUAAAUAUAUGGACUCGGACUUCGCAACAAGUGAAACGUUAAUGGUAAUGAGAGGAGCCGACCCACAUGUGCGUACCUACUUUUGACUGUGUUUUUUUCGUAUGUAUUUACAUGUACUUUUUUGUGUUCUUGUACAUGAUAAUGUGCGUUCGUUUCGCUUCACUUUACCACAUUGCUUCCCUUUUUAAUUUUUAUUUUUAUUUAUUUAUUUUUUUUUGCAUACGUAU